AACGAACGCUGGCGGCAGGCCUAACACAUGCAAGUCGAACGCCCCGCAAGGGGAGUGGCAGACGGGUGAGUAACGCGUGGGAACCUUCCCUGUGGUACGGAAUAACUGACCGAAAGGUUAGCUAAUACCGUAUACGUCCGAGAGGAGAAAGAUUUAUCACCAUAGGAUGGGCCCGCGUCGGAUUAGCUAGUUGGUGAGGUAAUGGCUCACCAAGGCGACGAUCCGUAGCUGGUCUGAGAGGAUGAUCAGCCACACUGGGACUGAGACACGGCCCAGACUCCUACGGGAGGCAGCAGUGGGGAAUAUUGGACAAUGGGCGCAAGCCUGAUCCAGCCAUGCCGCGUGAGUGAUGAAGGUCUUCGGAUUGUAAAACUCUUUCGCCGGGGGAAGAUAAUGACGGUACCCGGAGAAGAAGCUCCGGCUAACUUCGUGCCAGCAGCCGCGGUAAU
rnacentral:rRNA from 1 species